rnacentral:rRNA from 1 species
GACGAACGCUGGCGGCGUGCCUAAUACAUGCAAGUAGAACGCUGAAGGAGGAGCUUGCUUCUCUGGAUGAGUUGCGAACGGGUGAGUAACGCGUAGGUAACCUGCCUGGUAGCGGGGGAUAACUAUUGGAAACGAUAGCUAAUACCGCAUAAUAGCAGCUGUUGCAUGAUAACUGUUUGAAAGGUGCAAUUGCACCACUACCAGAUGGACCUGCGUUGUAUUAGCUAGUUGGUGGGGUAACGGCUCACCAAGGCGACGAUACAUAGCCGACCUGAGAGGGGGGGCAGCCGCACUGAGACUGAGACACGGCCCAGAGGGCUAGGGGUGGGGGCAGUAGGGAAACUUCAGCAAUGAGCGGGAAUCUGACCGAGCAGCGCCGCAUGAGUAAGGAGGGUUUUCGGGUCGUAGAGCUCUGUUGUAAGGGAGGAACGAGUGUGAGAGUGGAAAGAUCACACUGUGACGGUAUCUUACCAAGAAGGAACGGCUAACUACGUG